rnacentral:rRNA from 1 species
CAGCAGCCGCGGUAAAACAGAGGGUGCAAGCGUUAAUCGGAAUUACUGGGCGUAAAGCGCGCGUAGGUGGUUUGUUAAGUUGGAUGUGAAAGCCCCGGGCUCAACCUGGGAACUGCAUCCAAAACUGGCAAGCUAGAGUACGGUAGAGGGUGGUGGAAUUUCCUGUGUAGCGGUGAAAUGCGUAGAUAUAGGAAGGAGCACCAGUGGCGAAGGCGACCACCUGGACUGAUACUGACACUGAGGUGCGAAAGCGUGGGGAGCAAACAGGAUUAGAUACCCCGGUAGUCCCUGUCUCUUAUAC